rnacentral:rRNA from 1 species
GAUGAACGCUGGCGGCGUGCCUAAUACAUGCAAGUCGAGCGAACAGACGAGGAGCUUGCUCCUCUGACGUUAGCGGCGGACGGGUGAGUAACACGUGGAUAACCUACCUAUAAGACUGGGAUAACUUCGGGAAACCGGAGCUAAUACCGGAUAAUAUAUUGAACCGCAUGGUUCAAUAGUGAAAGACGGUUUUGCUGUCACUUAUAGAUGGAUCCGCGCCGCAUUAGCUAGUUGGUAAGGUAACGGCUUACCAAGGCAACGAUGCGUAGCCGACCUGAGAGGGUGAACCGCCACACUGGAACUGAGACACGGUCCAGACUCCUACGGGAGGCAGCAGUAGGGAAUCUUCCGCAAUGGGCGAAAGCUUGACGGAGCAACGCCGCGUGAGUGAUGAAGGUCUUCGGAUCGUAAAACUCUGUUAUUAGGGAAGAACAAAUGUGUAAGUAACUAUGCACGUCUUGACGGUACCUAAUCAGAAAGCCACGGCUAACUACGCG